GUCGGUGAGGUAACCUUUUAGGAGCCAGCCGCCGAAGGUGGGACAGAUGAUUGGGGUGAAGUCGUAACAAGGUAGCCGUAUCGGAAGGUGCGGCUGGAUCACCUCCUUUCUAAGGA
rnacentral:rRNA from 1 species